CACAGAGUGAGAUGUAGAGGAAAUUCUGCUGUGAAGGCAAGAACAGAGGCAGCAAGUGGCAUGCAUAGCAUGGGUUAAAGGAAAGUUCAUCGUGGAGAUCCUGACUGCUUCCUAGCAGAACUCUCGACACCAAACUCUGUUUUUGUGAAAAACUUCAAAAAAAAGAAACAAGUUGGCAAACUCUACAAUGCACCAUUUUCAAAGAGGGGUGUGCUUUCCUUUAAGAAAAUUUACCAACUAGGCACAUUCAUUGUCUUAAGCUUCACUCACAAAUGUAUUUAUUGGUUUCCAUAUGCUGUGAAGAAGCAAUUCAAGAACUUGCUGUCUGAUUCUGAAUAAAUACAACAGGCAUUGUACUGACCAUUUGUUCAUUUUUGUUUCGGCUUUCUUAUGACUUGAAAAUUCUGUGGAAUAAUAAGCUAAGGAAAAGUGAUGGUCACUGUUAAAACACUUUCAAGCAACCUCCUUACUUAGAGGGCUCUUCUGUUAUACAUCUGUCGGAGAACGUUAGUGACUCUGCAGGUCAUGUUCGGGACACACUGAUCCAUGAAGUCUGUCAUGCAACUGCUUGGUUAAUUCAAAGGGCCACAGCCCAGCCAAGCUACGUGCCAUCACAAUUAUAAAAUACAUUUAAAAUUCACCUAUCAAUCGGUUACUGCAAAAAAUUGUUUGGUGCAUUUUUGUUUGAUUUACAUUAUUGCUUUAAAGCUCAAGUGAAAGGCUUGUACAUUUUCAAAGAAUAUACACAACAAAGAUCAAAGCAGAGUUCUGCUGAAUUAUUUCCUGCCUAUUUACUAGCAUACAUGCAAAGCUCAUUUAUAGACUUUAUGUAGGUUGUUAUGAUAAGCAUGCGCAUAGUACCAACAUGUUCCGCAGCGCUUUGCAAUUAUAGACAGGGGAUAUUAGACAGCAAGUAAUUGACAUAAACAAUUUUUAAGAGACACUGUAGGCACCCAGACCACUUUAGCUCAUUGCAGUAGUCUGGGUGCAGUGUUUCAUCAACCUAAACCCUGAGCAUGUAAUU